GAGUUGGUAGCUGAAGGUAAAAGGCAGUGGGCUUUGCAGGCCCACGAUCCGGGUUCGAUUCCCGGCUAACUCU
rnacentral:tRNA from 1 species